GGCUCCAUAGUGUAGUGGUUAGAACGUCUGCUAUACACGCAGAAGGUCCUGGGUUCGCACCCCAGGUAGAGCCA
rnacentral:tRNA from 1 species